GGGCUCGUAGUCGAGACCUCAACAUUUGCUGUUUGAAGGCAGAGAUCGGGAGUUCAAAUCUCUCCGAGCCCA
rnacentral:tRNA from 1 species